rnacentral:tRNA from 1 species
GGCCUAAUGGCCCAAUGGCAAGGCGCUUGACUACGAUCUGUUCGGCAUCAAGAGAUUCCAGGUUGUAAGUAUCCGCUAGAUCGUAUCCAGCGUUCGAGUCCUAACAGUUCCUAGCGACCCCUGGUUAGGUCA